rnacentral:rRNA from 1 species
GAUGAACGCUGGCGGCGUGCCUAAUACAUGCAAGUCGAGCGAACGGACGAGAAGCUUGCUUCUCUGAUGUUAGCGGCGGACGGGUGAGUAACACGUGGAUAACCUACCUAUAAGACUGGGAUAACUUCGGGAAACCGGAGCUAAUACCGGAUAAUAUUUUGAACCGCAUGGUUCAAAAGUGAAAGACGGUCUUGCUGUCACUUAUAGAUGGAUCCGCGCUGCAUUAGCUAGUUGGUAAGGUAACGGCUUACCAAGGCAACGAUGCAUAGCCGACCUGAGAGGGGGAUCGGCAACAGUGGAACGGAGACCGGGUCAAGACCCCUACGGGAGGAAGCAGUAGGGAAUUUUCCGCAAUGGGCGAAGGCCGGACGGAGCAACGCCGCGGGAGUGAUGAAGGUCUGCGGAUCGUAAAACUCUGUUAUUGGGGAAGAACAUAUGUGUAAGUAACUAGGCACGUCUGGACGGUACAUAAUAAGAAAGCCACGGCUAACUACGUC